AUGGCAAGUAAUACCUUAUCUAUAGCUGAAAGUCUUAAUAUGAAAGUUUCUACCUCUUACAAGAGAGGCAGCCUUGGUUCCCCCACCAGUGGGAUCCAGUUGUCUCUGCCCAUUUGUGGAGUAACUUGGAGGACAGGAAGCUGGUUUGCUGAAAGACCGCGGGGUGGAGAGCUUACUACAGUGCUGAUGCCCAGAGGAAUGCUGGGAGGUGGGGGUUGA
rnacentral:lncRNA from 1 species